AUGGAGCAACAGGCGCUGCCGCCCUCCUCGCCGGGGGCCGUAGCAGGGGGCCGGGCUCGGAGGCUGCGGGAGCAGGACGCGGAGCCUCCCCGGAUUUCUUUCCUUGCAUCAAAAUCUAUCGGGAGAAGAAGUCCUGACUGUCCCAUGUUGAGCAAAGCUGAAUUUGUUGAGAAGGUUCGCCAGAGCAACCAGGCUUGCCAUGAUGGUGAUUUUCACACAGCAAUCGUCUUGUACAGCGAGGCUCUGGGGGUCGACCCCCAGAACUGCAUUCUCUACAGCAACCGCUCUGCAGCCUACAUGAAAACCCAGCAGUAUGACAAGGCCCUGGAUGAUGCCAUCAAAGCACGGCUUCUGAACCCCAAGUGGCCAAAGGCAUACUUCCGACAGGGUGUGGCCCUUCAGUAUCUUGGACGUCAUGCAGAUGCACUGGCAGCAUUUGCCUCGGGACUGGCUCAAGAUCCCAAGAGUCUUCAGCUCCUGGUUGGCAUGGUCGAGGCAGCCAUGAAAUCUCCCAUGCGAGGGUCCCUGGAGCCUACCUACCAACAACUGCAGAAGAUGAAGCUGGACAAGAGCCCCUUCGUGGUGGUGUCUGUGAUUGGCCAGGAGCUUCUCACCGCAGGCCACCACGGGGCCUCUGUGGUGGUUCUGGAGGCUGCCCUGAAGAUAGGCACGUGCAGCCUAAAGCUGCGGGGAUCCGUCUUCUCUGCACUGAGCAGUGCAUACUGGUCCCUUGGGAACACGGAGAAAAGCACUGGAUACAUGCAGCAGGACUUGGACGUAGCCAAGACUUUAGGUGACCAGACGGGAGAAUGCCGAGCUCAUGGAAAUCUGGGCUCUGCAUUCUUCUCCAAAGGAAAUUACCGGGAGGCCCUUACUAACCACAGACAUCAGCUGGUGCUCGCCAUGAAACUCAAGGACAGAGAGGCAGCAUCCUCAGCACUGAGCAGUCUGGGCCACGUGUACACAGCCAUUGGCGACUACCCAAAUGCCCUGGCCAGCCACAAGCAGUGUGUCCUCCUUGCGAAGCAGUCCAAAGAUGAGCUCUCUGAAGCACGGGAGCUGGGCAACAUGGGAGCAGUGUACAUUGCAAUGGGGGAUUUUGAAAAUGCAGUGCAGUGCCAUGAACAACAUCUGAAGAUUGCCAAGGAGUUGGGAAACAAGCGUGAGGAAGCUCGAGCCUACAGCAACCUCGGCAGUGCUUACCACUACCGGAGAAACUUCGACAAAGCCAUGUCCUACCACAACUAUGUGUUGGAGCUGGCCCAGGAGCUGGCUGAGAAGGCCAUUGAGAUGCGAGCUUAUGCUGGCUUGGGCCAUGCAGCUAGGUGUAUGCAGGACCUGGAGAGGGCUAAGCAGUACCAUGAAGAACAGUUGCACAUUGCUGAGAGCCUGCAGGACCGAGCUGCUGAAGGCAGAGCCUCCUCCAAUCUAGGAAUCAUUCACCAGAUGAAAGGCGACUAUGACGCUGCACUGCGCCUGCAUAAGACACAUCUGUCCAUAGCUCAGGAGCUGAGUGACUACGCAGCCCAGGGCCGGGCCUAUGGCAACAUGGGCAAUGCUUACAAUGCCCUCGGCAUGUAUGACCAGGCUGUCAAGUACCAUCGGCAGGAGCUGCAGAUUUCCAUGGAAGUGAAUGACCGUGCCUCCCAAGCAUCCACACAUGGCAACUUGGCAGUUGCUUACCAAGCACUGGGUGCCCAUGACCGUGCCCUGCAGCACUACCAAAAUCAUCUCAACAUUGCCCGUGAGCUGCGAGACAUCCAGAGUGAAGCACGGGCCCUCAGCAAUUUGGGCAACUUCCACUGCUCACGAGGAGAGUUUGUGCAGGCAGCUCCUUACUAUGAGCAGUACUUGCACUUGUCCCCAGAGCUGCAGGACAUGGAAGGGGAGGGAAAGGUUUGCCAUAACCUUGGCUAUGCCCAUUACUGCCUUGGGAACUAUGAGGAAGCUGUUAAGUACUAUGAGCAGGACCUUGCCUUAGCAAAGGAUCUUCAUGACAAGCUGAGUCAAGCCAAAGCUUAUUGCAACCUUGGCCUGGCCUUCAAAGCCUUGAUGGACUUCAGCAAAGCAGAGGAGUGUCAGAAGUACCUGUUGUCCCUGGCUCAGUCUCUGAACAAUUCCCAGGCCAAAUUCCGAGCUCUGGGGAACUUAGGGGAUAUUUUCAUCUGUAAAAAAGAUGUAAAUGGUGCAAUAAAAUUUUAUGAGCAGCAAUUGAGCUUAGCCCAUCAUGUUAAAGACAGGAGACUGGAAGCUAGUGCCUAUGCAGCCUUGGGCUCUGCGUACAGAAUGAUUCAGAAGUGUGACAAGGCUUUAGGUUACCACACACAGGAGCUGGAGGUAUAUCAGGAGCUGGGAGAUAUGCCAGGUGAAUGCAGAGCACAUGGUCACCUUGCUGCGGUGUAUAUGUCACUUGGAAAGUACACCAUGGCAUUCAAGUGUUAUGAAGAACAGCUGGAACUUGGGCAGAAGUUGAAGGACCCCAGCAUAGAAGCCCAAGUCUAUGGUAACAUGGGCAUUACCAAGAUGAACAUGAAUGUCAUGGAGGAAGCUAUUGGCUACUUUGAACAGCAGCUGGCCAUGCUGCAGCAGCUCAGUGGAAAUGAAGCCGUGUUAGAUCGUGGCCGAGCAUAUGGGAACCUGGGAGAUUGUUAUGAGGCUCUGGGAGAUUUUGAGGAAGCUAUAAAGUAUUACGAACAGUACCUGUCUGUGGCUCAAAGCCUGAACCGUAUGCAAGAUCAGGCAAAGGCCUACCGGGGCUUGGGCAACGGGCACAGGGCUAUGGGAAGUUUGCAGCAGGCUCUGGUGUGCUUUGAGAAGAGGCUUGUGGUGGCACAUGAGCUGGGGGAAGCGUUUAACAAAGCCCAAGCCUAUGGGGAGCUGGGGAGUCUGCACAGCCAGCUGGGGAACUAUGAACAAGCCAUCUCCUGCCUGGAGCGCCAGCUGAACAUCGCUCGAGAGAUGAAAGAUCGGGCUCUGGAGAGCGAUGCUGCCUGUGGCCUCGGCGGGGUCUACCAGCAGAUGGGAGAAUAUGACACAGCCCUGCAGUACCACCAGCUGGACCUGCAGAUUGCAGAGGAGACCAACAACCCCACCUGCCAGGGCCGUGCCUACGGGAACCUGGGGCUGACCUACGAGUCCUUGGGCACCUAUGAGAGGGCAGUGGUUUAUCAGGAGCAGCAUCUCAGCAUUGCAGCACAAAUGAACGACCUUGUAGCCAAAACUGUGUCCUACAGCAGUCUGGGGAGGACUCACCAUGCCUUGCAGAACUACUCUCAGGCUGUGAUGUACCUUCAGGAAGGACUGAGGCUGGCAGAGCAGCUGGGACGCAGAGAAGAUGAAGCCAAAAUCCGCCAUGGCCUCGGCCUUUCCCUCUGGGCAAGUGGGAACCUGGAGGAGUCUCAGCACCAGCUGUACCGGGCCUCAGCACUCUUUGAAACCAUCCGACACGAGGUGCAGCUGAGCACAGAUUACAAGCUGUCACUCUUCGAUCUGCAGACAUCCUCCUACCAGGCCCUGCAGCGAGUCCUUGUCAGUCUUGGUCAUCACGAUGAAGCUUUGGCAGUAGCAGAGAGAGGACGAACACGGGCAUUUGCUGACCUGCUCGUGGAACGUCAGACUGGGCAGCAGGACUCUGAUCCCUAUUCUCCAGUGACCAUUGACCAGGUCCUGGAGACAGUGAAUGGCCAGAGGGGACUUGUUCUCUACUACUCACUGGCUGCAGGUUAUCUGUACAGCUGGCUGUUGGCUCCUGGGGCAGGGAUUCUGAAAUUCCAUGAGUAUUAUCUGGGUGACAGCCUGACAGAUAAUGCUGGGGAAUUCCAUGAAGCCAACAGCGUGACCCUGCAGACAACAAAUUCUGCACUGGAACAGCACAUCUCAAGUGUGCGGGAGGCUCUGGGUGUGGACUCCUACUACACCCGAGCCUGUGCCAGUAGUGAGACUGAGAGUGAAGCUGGCGAUAUCAUGGACCAGCAGUUUGAGGAGGUGAAUAACAAGCUGAACUCAACGACUGAUCCAACUGGUUUCCUGAGAAUGGUCAGCAGGAACAAUGUCCUGAAUAGGAGCUGUCAGAGCAUGACCAGUCUGUUCAGCAGUACCGUGUCUCCUGUUAAGGAUGGAACAUCAUCUCUUCCAAGGAGGCAGACUUCCUUCACCAAACCCCCACUCCGUGCACUCUAUGACUUACUGAUAGGACCUAUGGAAGGAGGUUUGAUGCAUUCCAGUGGACCUGUUGGUCGCCACCGCCAGCUGAUACUGGUUCUGGAGGGAGAACUGUACCUCAUUCCUUUUGCUCUCCUGAAGGGCAGUUCCUCCAAUGAGUACCUCUAUGAGCGCUUCAGCCUCAUUGCAGUGCCAUCAAUCCAGUCACUGAACCCCAGCUCCAAGUCCCACACAAGGAAGAACACUCCUGCUUACUCCAGUUCUACCUCAAUGGCAGCUGUCAUAGGAAAUCCCAAGCUCCCUUCAGCAGUUAUGGACAGGUGGCUAUGGGGACCUAUGCCCUCUGCAGAAGAGGAAGCAUAUAUGGUGUCUGAGUUGCUUGGCUGCCAGCCCUUAGUUGGCAGUGCAGCAACAAAAGAGAGGGUCAUGAGUGCCCUCACGCAGGCAGAGUGUGUUCAUUUUGCAACCCAUGUCUCUUGGAAACUGGCUGCUUUGGUCCUGACACCCAACACUGACAGCAAUCCAUCCAGCAGCAAGAGUUCUUUUGGGAACCCCUACACAAUCCCAGAAUCCCUUCGGAUGCAGGAUGAUGCCAGUGAUGUGGAGAGCAUCUCAGACUGCCCUCCUCUUCAGGAGUUUCUGCUUACAGCAGCUGAUGUCCUGGAUCUGCGGCUUCCUGUCAAAUUAGUGAUUCUUGGCUCUUACCAAGAAUCCAGCAGCAAAGUCACUGCUGAUGGAGUAAUUGGCUUGACAAGAGCAUUCCUGGCUGCUGGGGCUCAGUGUGUCCUAGUGUCACUCUGGCCUGUUCCUGUGUCUGCUUCCAAAAUGUUUGUGCAUGCCUUCUAUUCCUCCCUCUUAAAUGGGACAAAAGCCAGUGCUGCCCUUGGAGAAGCAAUGAAAACUGUGCAGAGCAGCAAGCAGUUCUCCCAUCCAUCCAACUGGGCAGGUUUCAUGCUUAUUGGGAGUGAUAUGAAGCUGAACAGCCCUUCUUCAUUAGUAGGACAGGCCCUUACUGAGAUUCUGCAGCACCCUGAAAGGGCACGAGAUGCUCUACGUGUCCUCCUACAUCUGGUGGAGAAAUCACUGCAGCGAAUCCAGAAUGGGCAGCACAACUCCAUGUAUACCUCCCAACAAAGCGUGGAGAAUAAAGUGGGUGGCAUUCCAGGCUGGCAGGCACUGCUCACUGCUGUAGGAUUUCGGUUGGACCCUCCAGCCAGUGGCCUCCCAGCAGCAGUCUUCUUCCCAACCUCUGACCCUGGUGACCGGCUGCAGCAGUGCAGCACCACCAUACAGUCCCUCCUAGGUUUGCCUAACCCUGCACUUCAGGCACUUUGUAAACUUAUCUCGGCUUCAGAAACAGGAGAGCAGCUUAUCAACAGGCUGCAUCAAGUCCUGGUCCAACUCCAGGCAGGCGAGAAGGAGCAAGAUUUCUCCUCUGCACCAAUCCAGGUUUCCAUCAGUGUCCAGCUCUGGAGGCUCCCUGGCUGUCAUGAGUUUCUCGCAGCUCUAGGUUUUGACCUCUGUGAAGUUGGCCAAGAGGAGGUGAUUCUGAAAACUGGGAAACAAGCUAACAGGAGGACCAUGCACUUUGCUCUUCAAUCCUUGCUGGCACUUUUUGAUUCUACAGAGCUGCCGAAGCGCCUCAGUCUGGACAGCUCCUCAUCACUAGAGUCCCUGGCUUCUGCACAGUCCAUUUCCAACCCUGUACCCCAGUACCAAAACCCUCCCUUCUCUCCUGCUUGUCCAGACAGCAUUGCAUCAGAUGCCAUUUCUGUGUAUAGCCUGAGCUCCAUUGCUUCUUCCAUGAGUUUUGUUUCCAAGCCAGAGAGCAUGCCAGAUGGGGUAGGACACAGAGGACGCCAGGACUAUGAGAGGCCUAAGAAUGUCUGUUCUCAUAGGUCUGCAGUACAGAGCCAGUUGUCACCACAAACCAGCAUGGUAGUCAGCAAAGAUGAGGAGGAGUAUGAAGGUUUUUCUAUAAUCAGCAAUGAGCCUUUGGCCAGUUACCAAGAAAACAUCAAGCCAAGAUUUUCCCCUGAUCACAAACAGCCCAAAGGUGGUCAGACUGGAAGCAUUAAAGAGUCUAACAGCUCCAGAGGGAGUUUAAGUACCCCAAAUUCUCCUGUUAAAAUGACACUUAUUCCCAGUCCUAAUUCACCUUUCCAAAAAGUUGGGAAACUUGCAAGUUCUGAUACUGGGGAAUCUGAUCAAUCUAGCACUGAGACUGACAGCACUGUCAAAUCCCAGGAGGACAGUAAUCCAAAGCUUGAUCCACAAGAGUUGGCCCAAAAAAUUCUGGAGGAAACUCAGAGUCACCUCAUUGCUGUUGAACGUCUCCAGAGAAGCAGCAGCCAGAUAAGCAAAAGCAACACUUCAGAUGAUGGGGCUUCCACCCCAGCAGGUGUGUCUGCAUUCAGAUCUUCAGAGACCAGUGCAUUCAGUCGGCCAAUCAGCUCUAGUCAGAAGAACCAGUCCUCACCUCUCACAAUUAAACCAAAGCCUCCAACAAGGAGUUCAUCCCUUCAGAAAGUGAGUUCUGGAUAUAACAGCCCCACAACAUCAGAGAUGUCAAACAAAGAAGGCACAGGGCAAUACAGUGGGCAGCCAUCUCCAAGUUGUGAUUCACAUGGGUCCUUGACUGAGCAGCCUCACUUUAAACUGAAGUACCCCAGCUCUCCCUACAGUGCUCAUAUUUCUAAAUCACCCAGAAAUAUCUCUCCAAGCUCAGGGCAUCAGUCUCCUGGUGGCAGCACUCCAUCUCCUGCUCUUUCUUACUCCUCAGCUGGAUCUGCUCGCUCAAGUCCAGCUGAUGCCCCAGAUAUAGACAAAUUAAAAAUGGCUGCCAUUGAUGAGAAAGUGCAAGCAAUUCACAACUUAAAGAUGUUCUGGCAAAGCACUCCCCAUCACUCCACUGGCCCAAUAAAGAUUCUCCGAGGAGCUCCUGGAACAAUGACUUCUAAAAAGGAUGUGCUCAGCUUGCUCAAUUUAUCUCCACGGCACAGCAAAGAAGAAAGUGCAGAUAAGCUGGAACUAAAGGACCUGUCUAUUGAGCAACACCUUGCUUCUCCACAAAAGAACCCUCCAAACGGACACAGGCACCCUGAAACUACAAAUGCGGUGACACCAACUCAUUCUCCACCUUGCAGUAGCACUCCAGGAACCACACGCCCCUUGAGGCUGCCAUCUGGGAACGGAUAUAAAUUUUUGUCACCUGGAAGAUUUUUUCCUUCCUCCAAAUGUUGAAAUGUCUUGAGUACCAGCUGAUGACUCAGUCUUUUAAAAGUAUUUGCUUCUGCCCACUUGCCUUUAUCAAUACAGAAUCAUUAUCUGAGAAGCCGUGGUCAUGACCACAGCUGGCAAUGCACAGGAGUGACAGACUGGCCCUGUUACUGUGUAGGAGCACGGGCCAUAUACAGAUGGGUUUUAGUUUCCCUUAUCAGAAGGGCCAGACUCACUUGAUAACAGGUUCUACAUAGUGCUCAGUGUUUGCAGCAACAGGUCCAAUGAAUCCAGUUGUCUGUUCAUACAAUACUAUUUUUUAAGCCACUUGUGUAUCUUAACCUAGCAGGAGGUUUUACAGAUGGAUAUUUAUACAGAAAUUAUACAUAUCAGGGAUUGGAGAGGGAAGUCAGAGGAGGCAGAACUUUCAUGUGUACCCGCAGGGUAUGCAUGCAAAAGUUCCUGCCUGGAGAAGUACAAGCCAUUUAUUUGGUUGUUUUUAAAAGCUGACAGAGAGGACAAGGUAACAGACCUCUAGAUAUCCCUACCACGUUAGCCAGACACAAGAAAUUGCUGGCAGUAAAACUCCACAGCAGCAUGAUACUGGCAGUUCUCUUGCAUCAUUUAGAGGCUGGUGAAGCAAAGACAAGAAAACAGAGGUGCCCCAUUCUGAAGCCUGUGUCUCCAGUAACUCUCUUCUGGAGGGAAACCUUUCAGGUGAUACUUUGCUGAUUGGUCUGCUCAAAAAGAACGUUUGGGCCGUAACGAGCAAGGUGAGCGUCAGCGUGAGGUGUGUCAGAAAGACAAGUUCUGGUUUUAUUGAGUGCUCUGAUCUGGCACACAGUGUUAUGAUGGUUAAAUUUUCAUCAUCUGCUAAGUGUGCACAGAAAAGGGUUACAGGCACUGAAGGUCAAACAUUAUUUACAGUUCCACAGUAGACAGGUAUGUGACAUCAGUGUAUGUGAUUUAGAAAUCACCUGACCAAAUAAAUCCUUCACUGAUCCUGCAAAAUCAUUCCACAUAGCUCAUCAUGGGCAGAUCUGCAAACCUUUCCCCUCCUGUGGAAGCAAAUUUCUUUUGGAUCAAAUGUACCAGUCUGAGCAGAUGUCAGAGCACGUAGCCGAGUGGUUUUGCCUUGCUCAGUGCAAGAGUAUCAAGUUGGGCAACUUUAUUCUGUGGCAGAAGCUAGCAAAAAUGAAACAG